AGCUCCAAUAGCGUAUAUUAAAGUUGCUGCAGUUAAAAAGCUCGUAGUUGGAUUUCUGACGAAUGCUAGCUGGCCCGUCACGUCAGUGAUGUGUGCCGGCUGGCGUUUGUCAUCCGUUCGAAUGAUAGCGCUGCCCUUCACUGGGUUGGUGGCAUGUUUUCGAUCUUUUACUUUGAAAAAAUUAGAGUGUUUCAAGCAGGCGUUUGCUAUGAAUACAUUAGCAUGGAAUAAUAAUCUAGGACUUCGGUUCUAUUUUGUUGGUGUCUGGAGCUGAAGUAAUGAUUGAUAGGGAUAGUUGGGGGUGCUAGUAUUCAAUGGCCAGAGGUGAAAUUCUCGGAUUCCUUGAAGACUAACUUAUGCGAAAGCAUUCACCAAGGAUGUCUUCU
rnacentral:rRNA from 1 species